AUUCAUAUAUAUUUACUACUGAUAAACUCUUAAAAUUAUUAGAAAAGAGUUCUGAAAUUUAUGUGAAUGGAACGUUUUCUGCUGUACCCAGAAUGCCGAAAUUUACUAAAUUAUUUUCAAUACAUGUGCGGUAUAUGGAGAAGGGUAUUGCAGUAUUACUUAUUUUAUGUGAAGCAAUAACAGAAUGUGUUUACAAUUCAAUAUGGAAGGAAGUUAUUA